UGGGUAGUCCGCACGAGCGCACCUUGCUUUCAGUUACCAUCAUUCAGUUGGGUACUCUGAAGGAACUGCCGGUGACAAGCCGGAGGAAGGUGGGGAUGACGUCAAGUCAUCAUGGCCCUUACGGGCUGGGCUACACACGUGCUACAAUGGCGGUUACAGUGGGCAGCGAUGGGGCGACCCUAAGCUAAUCUAUAAAAACCGUCUCAGUUCGGAUUGCAGUCUGCAACUCGACUGCAUGAAGUCGGAAUCGCUAGUAAUCGCGGAUCAGCGUGCCGCGGUGAAUACGUUCCCGGGCCUUGUACACACCGCCCGUCACACCAUGGGAGUUGGUUCUACCCAAAGCUGGUGCGCUAACCUUUGGAGGCAGCCAACCACGGUAGGGUCAGCGACUGGGGUGAAGUCGUAACAAGGUAGCCGUAGGGGAACCUGCGGCUGGAUCACCUCCUUUC
rnacentral:rRNA from 1 species